GAGUCUUUGUCUCCAAACACCUGGCGAGGCACACAGACCGCACGUCUCAUCACUUUGUUCAAACAUUAAUGUGUGCACUUGUUUAGGUUGCUUUUUCAGAAUAUUUUCAGAUUGCUAAUUUUGCUAACGUGUUUCUCCUGACUUCCUGACAGGUAGUAAAAUUAUUAAUGUUCUGAAGUGGCCCAGUCAAAGAUUUGAAAAUGUUUAUUUUAGCAUUUAGUGGCAAAGAGGCCUUCCAAGUUAAAAGACUCGGAGAGCAAUACUAAACACAAAUUACAGACGU